UUAACUUUUAUUAAUGCACGG
rnacentral:piRNA from 1 species